rnacentral:tRNA from 1 species
CCCCCGGUAGCUCAAUCCGGUAGAGUAUUCGGCUGUAGACCGAAGUGUUGGGCGUUCAAAUAAGCCUUUCUUUUUAAAAAAAGAAAGCCUUAAGGGAAAGAAAAAGCUUUGGAAAGCCUUAAGGGAAAAGAAAACCUUCGGCCUUCAGUAAAAGAAAAGGUUUGGAAACUCGCCCCCGGGGGA